UACGUAGGGUGCGAGCGUUAAUCGGAAUUACUGGGCGUAAAGCGUGCGUAGGCGGUUCGUCAAGUCUGAUGUGAAAGCCCCGGGCUCAACCUGGGAACUGCAUUGGAAACUAGCGAGCUUGAGUGUGGCAGAGGGGGGUGGAAUUCCACGUGUAGCAGUGAAAUGCGUAGAGAUGUGGAGGAACACCGAUGGCGAAGGCAGCCCCCUGGCUACACUGACGCUCAGGCACGAAAGCGUGGGGAGCAAACAGG
rnacentral:rRNA from 1 species